UGACUGUUCCUCUUCGUUCCUCCUGUC
rnacentral:piRNA from 1 species